GGCUGGUCUGAAGGUAGUGCGUUAUCUCAGUUCAUUGUUCACAGUCACUUGCAGAUCAAACUCUUGUUCUACUCUUUACCCCCCUCACCACUGCACUUGAUUAUUAA
ensembl:Y_RNA Y_RNA Y RNA